rnacentral:piRNA from 1 species
CCGGAAUUCAGGAGGGUAACCUACAGA